UACGAAGGGGGCUAGGCGUUGCUCAGAAUCACUGGCGUAAAGGCGCACGUAGGCGGCUUUUUAAGUCAGAGGUGAAAUCCUGGAGCUCAACAUCCAGAACUGCCUUUGAUACUGAGAGGCUUGAGUCCGGAAGAGGUGGGUGGAAUUCCUAGUGUAGAGGUGAAAUUCGUAGAUAUUAGGAAGAACACCGGUGGCGAAGGCGGCCCACUGGUCCGGUACUGACGCUGAGGUGCGAAAGCGUGGGGAGCAAACAGG
rnacentral:rRNA from 1 species